rnacentral:lncRNA from 1 species
UAAUGGUCUGAACUCUCAAUCUGAUCUGGAACUCAGGAACAAGCCGUAAGGGCUUUCGUUAGCGUUAGACUGCGUCUUCAGGUACGUCUAUUGGUGAUUCUUCAUCGGAUUCCCUAAACAUGGGGCUAAUCCUUAUCCUUAAAGAUUCUCUGGGAAAGGGCUCCAUAACAUCUAUCUCAAAAGAAGGAAGGACAUUCUAUUAUGCCUUCUCCCCAUUCCCGGCCGUAGCACGGGCAAAUCUAUCUUCAACGGGUGCCCCGACUGCUUAUUUCCUAGGAGCUAUUCCUACCAUUAUCCCACGUCCCUUGUCUUUAUCGCUCUAGCAACUGCCAUUCAUUCCUUGUCCACUUUUCAUGCAUGCAGGACUCUUUCUAAAGAAGAGGAAAGCUCCAUGUGCACCCAGAGAAUAAGCAACUCGCUAGAAGGAAUAGAUAUUGGCUCUUGACGUAAGGAAUAGAAGGAAGGUUCUUUGCGAGAGUAGUUCAUCUCGGGGGAAGAGGGAAGUAGUGGCUUCUACUCCCAUACGAGCGCACAUUAAUCUAAUUGAAAUCCGGUAAGAGAAGGACUUGACUUGAUCACGCUGCUCAGUAUACUAGUAUAGAAUGGUGCGUUCCAAUGCCAGUGAUAAAUUGGUUUAAAAAGAUCGUAUUGAGAUCGCUUUUUCUCAAUCUAGUAAGAGGGGUUGAGAUGGAUUCCUUUCGGGGCUUGGGCUAGCUUGGAUCUUUUCCUCUUACUUUGAUUGCUUGAUUGUGCUAAAGGCUUUGCCAUGUCAUUCUGCUAGUAAGAAGGUAAGUCGCUUCCUUGUGGAUAGCCUUCGCUUCCGGCUUCCCUUCGACGAUGUAGUUUUCUUCGCACCCU